UAUAAAGUUCAUCAUUUUGAGAAACUGCGAACGGCUCAUUAGAGCAGAUAUUAUUUUCUUCGAAUAUUUCGAGGAUAACUGCGGUAAUUCUGGAGCUAAUACAUGCGACAAAGCCCUGACUUCGGAAAGGGUGCAGAUAUUAGUACAAACCAAUCGUUUCUGACGUUGUUUGUUGACUCUGAAUAUCGUAGCUUAUCGACGGUCUAUCCGUCGAUGAUCGAAAAAUGUGUCUGCCCUAUCAACCUGAUGGUAGUCUAUUAGUCUACCAUGGUUAUCACGGGUAACGGAGAAUAAGGGUUCGACUCCGGAGAGGGAGCCUUAGAAACGGCUACCACAUCCAAGGAAGGCAGCAGGCGCGUAACUUAUCCACUACUUCAGUGAGAUAGUAACUAAAAAUAAAAAGGCCAAUCCUAUGGAUCGGUUAUUUCAAUGAGCUGAGCUUAAAUAGCUCUACGAGGACCCAGUGGAG
rnacentral:rRNA from 1 species